GUACUGAUGAACAGUCCCAAACUAGGCGGACGAAACGGCUGUCCAGUAU
rnacentral:hammerhead_ribozyme from 1 species